GAAAGAUUCAUUCUUUAGCCAGAUCAACAUCCUUCUUCCUAUUACCUAUCUCCAGAUCAAGAUCCUAACAUGAUUUAAGCCAUAACUCUACUAUGGAAGUACUUAGUAAUCCUACUUCCUAUUCACUAUAUACUUCCUUCGUCAGCCUUCCUCCAUGGCUCUUUGCAAGAUUCUCCGCAUCUACGGGGAGAAUGCCCCAAAGCCCC
rnacentral:lncRNA from 1 species